rnacentral:rRNA from 1 species
AUUCCCGCCGCGCGCGGCGGGCGGGGCGGGGGCACGGGGGGCCUACGGGAGGCAGCAGUGGGGAAUCUUCCGCAAUGGGCGCAAGCCUGACGGAGCAACGCCGCGUGAGUGAGGGAGUUCUUCGGAACGUAAAGCUCUGUUGUUCCUGACGAACCUCCCUUCUAUCAACAACGGAAGGGACUGACGGUAGGGAACGAGGAAGCCACGGCUAACUACGUGCCAGCAGCCGC